CUCGAGCCCACACCACUCCUUCAGCCAAGCUGCUCACAUGGCCGCUCACCAGGAGGGCAGCUGCUGCAUUUAGAAUCUGGGAAACAAAUCCAAACAUGGAGGAGUUUCGACAUUCAGGAGUCAACCACUAAGAGGUUUGGUGAUGACAGAUCUAUUACUGAAGCUAGUGAUGCUAUUGAGAGGCUAAUACAACAGAUUAUGCCACAGAGGAAUUAACUCUCCACAGAAACAUUUUAAAGCAGAGAUUAAUGCAAAUACAUUGAAUACUACAUAUUUUUGUGUGGACUUCAUGAACCAAGGAUAAAUGAAUAAUAUUGUAUUUGUUAAUUGAUU